rnacentral:pre_miRNA from 1 species
AAUAAGUUUAUUUUUUAGUUUCUAUAUAGUAUGUUUUACUUUUCGUCUUAUUUAGUUUUUUUUACGAUUAAUAUUUUUAUUGUUACUAGAUGAUAAAGCAUGAAUAAUGCUUUGUGUGUGACUAAUUUUUUUAGUUUUUUAUAAAUUUUUCAAAUAAGACGAAUGGUCAAAAUGUUGGACAUAAAAAUUAAA